UGUUGCUGGCCUCCCAAACGGGGCAUGUGCACGCUCUGUUUACGCAUCCACUCACACCUGUGCACCCUCUGUAGCCCUAUGGUUCGGAAGACCCUGUCUUCCUUCUGUAGCUCUACGUCUUUACACACACGCUGUAGCGAUGUCUCAUGGAAUGUUUUUAUGCGUUUAACGCGAUACAAUACAACUUUCAGCAACGGAUCUCUUGGCUCUCGCAUCGAUGAAGAACGCAGCGAAAUGCGAUAAGUAAUGUGAAUUGCAGAAUUCAGUGAAUCAUCGAAUCUUUGAACGCACCUUGCGCCCCUUGGUUAUUCCUUGGAGCAUGCCUGUUUGAGUAUCAUGAACACCUCAACUCUCACGGUCUUCUGUGAUGAGCUUGGACUUUGGGGGUUUGCUGGCCCUGCGGCCGGCUCCUCUCAAAUGAAUCAGCUUGCCAGUGUUUGGUGGCAUCAUGGGUGUGAUAACUAUCUACGCUCGCGGUCGUCUGCCAGGUAACCCUCAGCAAUGAAGGUUCAUUGGAGCUCACAAACGUCUCUCCUCGG
rnacentral:rRNA from 1 species